rnacentral:rRNA from 1 species
UACGUAGGGUGCGAGCGUUAAUCGGAAUUACUGGGCGUAAAGUGUGCGCAGGCGGCUGAGCAAGUCGAGUGUGAAAGCCCCGGGCUUAACUUGGGAAUUGCGCUCGAAACUACUUGGCUGGAGUGUGGCAGAGGAAGGUGGAAUUCCACGUGUAGCGGUGAAAUGCGUAGAGAUGUGGAGGAACACCAGUGGCGAAGGCGGCUACCUGGACCAGCACUGACACUGAGGCACGAAAGCGUGGGGAGCAAACAGG